UACGUAGGGUGCGAGCGUUAAUCGGAAUUACUGGGCGUAAAGCGUGCGCAGGCGGUUUUGUAAGCCAGAUGUGAAAGCCCCGGGCUUAACCUGGGAAUGGCAUUUGGGACUGCAAGGCUGGAGUGUGGCAGAGGAGACGUGGAAUUCCUGGUGUAGCAGUGAAAUGCGUAGAUAUCAGGAGGAACACCAAUUGCGAAGGCAGCUCGCUGGGACGUUACUGACGCUGAGACGCGAAAGCGUGGGGAGCAAACAGG
rnacentral:rRNA from 1 species